rnacentral:rRNA from 1 species
AGCAGCCGCGGUAAUUCCAGCUCCAAUAGCGUAUAUUAAAGUUGUUGCAGUUAAAAAGCUCGUAGUUGAAUUUCGGGGUCAGUAGGUUGGUCGUGCCAAUGGUAUGCACUGGCUUUACUGAUUCCUCCUUCUUGAAGAACUGUAAUGUCAUUAAUUUGGUGUUGCAGGGAAACAGGACUGUUACUUUGAAAAAAUUAGAGUGUUUAAAGCAGGCUAACGCUUGAAUACAUUAGCAUGGAAUAAUGAAAUAGGACGUUCGAUCCUAUUUUGUUGGUUUCUAGGAUCGACGUAAUGAUUAAUAGGGAUAGUUGGGGGCAUUAGUAUUCAAUUGUCAGAGGUGAAAUUCUUGGAUUUAUUGAAGACUAACUACUGCGAAAGCAUUUGCCAAGGAUGUUUUCAUUAAUCAAGAACGAAAGUUAGGGGAUCGAAGACGAUCAGAUACCGUCGUAGUCUUAACCAUAAACUAUGCCGACUAGGGAUCGGAUGAUGUUAUUUUUAAUGACUCA